rnacentral:misc_RNA from 1 species
UCUCCGUAGGUGAACCUGCGGAGGGAUCAUUACUGAGUGAGGGCUCACGCCCGACCUCCAACCCUUUGUGAACACAUCUUGUUGCUUCGGGGGCGACCCGGCCCUCUGGGCGUCGGGGCCCCCGGUGGCUCACACCUCAACUCUUGCAUCUGUGCGUCUGAGUAACAUAUUGAAUCAAUCAAAACUUUCAACAACGGAUCUCUUGGUUCUGGCAUCGAUGAAGAACGCAGC